rnacentral:rRNA from 1 species
AUACGGGAGGCAGCAGUGGGGAAUAUUGCGCAAUGGGGGAAACCCUGACGCAGCAACGCCGCGUGAAGGAAGAAGGCCUUCGGGUUGUAAACUUCUUUAGUCGGGGACGAAUAAAUGACGGUACCCGAAGAAUAAGCCACGGCUAACUACGUGCCAGCAGCCGCGGUAAUACGUAGGUGGCGAGCGUUGUCCGGAAUUACUGGGUGUAAAGGGCGUGUAGGCGGGUUAUCAAGUCAGAUGUGAAAUCCCAGGGCUCAACCCUGGAGCUGCAUCUGAAACUGAUGAUCUUGAGUACUGGAGAGGGAAGCGGAAUUCCUAGUGUAGCGGUGAAAUGCGUAGAUAUUAGGAGGAACACCAGUGGCGAAGGCGGCUUUCUGGACAGUAACUGACGCUGAGGCGCGAAAGCGUGGGGAGCAAACAGGAUUAGAUACCCCUGUAGUCCC